GCUUGCUCCCUGAUGUUAGCGGCGGACGGGUGAGUAACACGUGGGUAACCUGCCUGUAAGACUGGGAUAACUCCGGGAAACCGGGGCUAAUACCGGAUGGUUGUUUGAACCGCAUGGUUCAAACAUAAAAGGUGGCUUCGGCUACCACUUACAGAUGGACCCGCGGCGCAUUAGCUAGUUGGUGAGGUAACGGCUCACCAAGGCAACGAUGCGUAGCCGACCUGAGAGGGUGAUCGGCCACACUGGGACUGAGACACGGCCCAGACUCCUACGGGAGGCAGCAGUAGGGAAUCUUCCGCAAUGGACGAAAGUCUGACGGAGCAACGCCGCGUGAGUGAUGAAGGUUUUCGGAUCGUAAAGCUCUGUUGUUAGGGAAGAACAAGUACCGUUCGAAUAGGGCGGUACCUUGACGGUACCUAACCAGAAAGCCACGGCUAACUACGUGCCAGCAGCCGCGGUAAUACGUAGGUGGCAAGCGUUGUCCGGAAUUAUUGGGCGUAAAGGGCUCGCAGGCGGUUUCUUAAGUCUGAUGUGAAAGCCCCCGGGCUCAACCGGGGAGGGGUCAUUGGAAACUGGGGAACUUGAGUGCAGAAGAGGAGAGUGAAUUCCACGUGUAGCGGU
rnacentral:rRNA from 1 species